UAACACCACAGCUCAAUGGCUACCAGCAGCUGCAGGAGGUUUUGCAGCUCUCCUGUUAAUAAUAAUAAUACUUCUCACUGUGUUCUGCUGCCGGAGAAAAAAGACGGCUUCCAGUCAUUCUCCAAAGAGUGAAAUAUCAGACAACAAACAGCAGGUUAACCAUAAUCCCAUAUAUGAAAACUUCUCAGCUCACUACAGCAGAAUGCAUGUCAAUACACACCAACCAGCUCAUCUCUAUUCCAAUGAAGGAGAACUUGACUCCAAUCAAGGUGACCUCUACUGCAAUGAAGGCAAAGUCAAUCCCAAUCAAGUUGAACUCUAUUCCAAUAUAGCUGAUCUAUACUCUAACAUCCAAUACUGAGUCACUGCCUUUUAAACAGAAAAAAAACUCAAAAAAGCACCACAGCUGUUGUGUACAGAGUGUAAAACAACCACACUCUAAAAUGGCACGUAGAAUACAGUAGAAAUGAGUAGAAAAGUAGAAAUGCUUGUGGGUUU